AAAGAACCCCGGCGAGGGGAGUGAAAAAGAACCUGAAACCGUGUACGUACAAGCAGUGGGAGCACGCUUAGGCGUGUGACUGCGUACCUUUUGUAUAAUGGGUCAGCGACUUAUAUUCUGUAGCAAGGUUAACCGAAUAGGGGAGCCGAAGGGAAACCGAGUCUUAACUGGGCGUUAAGUUGCAGGGUAUAGACCCGAAACCCGGUGAUCUAGCCAUGGGCAGGUUGAAGGUUGGGUAACACUAACUGGAGGACCGAACCGACUAAUGUUGAAAAAUUAGCGGAUGACUUGUGGCUGGGGGUGAAAGGCCAAUCAAACCGGGAGAUAGCUGGUUCUCCCCGAAAGCUAUUUAGGUAGCGCCUCGUGAAUUCAUCUCCGGGGGUAGAGCACUGUUUCGGCA
rnacentral:rRNA from 1 species